ACACCGCUGAAGAGUCCCGCACUAGGACGAAACGGCCGUCCAGUGC
rfam:Schistosoma curassoni strain Dakar, Senegal genome assembly, scaffold: SCTD_scaffold0012187